rnacentral:rRNA from 1 species
CGUAGGGCGCAAGCGUUGUCCGGAAUUAUUGGGCGUAAAGAGCUCGUAGGCGGCUUGUCACGUCGGGUGUGAAAGCCCGGGGCUUAACCCCGGGUCUGCAUUCGAUACGGGCAGGCUAGAGUGUGGUAGGGGAGAUCGGAAUUCCUGGUGUAGCGGUGAAAUGCGCAGAUAUCAGGAGGAACACCGGUGGCGAAGGCGGAUCUCUGGGCCAUUACUGACGCUGAGGAGCGAAAGCGUGGGGAGCGAACGGG